UUAUAAGUGCCUUGGAACCUGGACAAAGUUCAAGAGAUUGUAAUUCCCCAAAAUCUAUUGCAACCUUGAGUUGAUAGCAUAUCUAGUGCCAAAAUUGGUGCAUAAUGUGUAGUCGUAUUAUAUAAUGCUGGAACUGGGGUUGGAACUAGGCUGAAUUGAAUUGAGUUUUCCUAUUGCUCAGACCUAGCUUGAAAAAAAUUCUAGAUUCCAAGACAAGCUAGGCCC
rnacentral:lncRNA from 1 species